GACGAACGCUGGCGGCGUGCUUAACACAUGCAAGUCGAACGGAAAGGCCCUUCGGGGUACUCGAGUGGCGAACGGGUGAGUAACACGUGGGUGAUCUGCCCUGCACUUUGGGAUAAGCCUGGGAAACUGGGUCUAAUACCGAAUAGGACCACGCGCUUCAUGGUGUGUGGUGGAAAGCUUUUGCGGUGUGGGAUGGGCCCGCGGCCUAUCAGCUUGUUGGUGGGGUAAUGGCCUACCAAGGCGACGACGGGUAGCCGGCCUGAGAGGGUGACCGGCCACAAUGGGACUGAGAUACGGCCCAGACUCCUACGGGAGGCAACAGGGGGGAAUAUUGCACAAUGGGCGCAAGCCUGAUGCAGCGACGCCGCGUGAGGGAUGACGGCCUUCGGGUUGUAAACCUCUUUCAAUAGGGACGAAGCGCAAGUGACGGUACCUAUAGAAGAAGCACCGGCCAACUACGUG
rnacentral:rRNA from 1 species